UCGGGUAUGGUGUAACGGCUAACAUUGCCGCCUCUCAUUCAGAACAAUUGUUCAAGUGCGCGGCAGCUCGGGGUUCGAUUCCCCGUACCCGAA